rnacentral:rRNA from 1 species
CCCGGGCCUUGUACACACCGCCCGUCACACCAUGGGAGUUGGUUUUACCUUAAGACGGUGUGCCAACCGCAAGGAGGCAGCCGGCCACGGUAAGGUCAGCGACUGGGGUG